UGCGGUAUUUUAACUGUACUAAGGUAGCAUAAUAAUUUGCCUUAUAAUUUGAGGCUAGAAUGAAUGGUUUGACGAAGGUUAAUCUGUCUCUGCUCUAUUUAUUAGAAAUUAAUUUUUAAAGUGAAAAAGCUUGAAUUUUUUAAAGGGACGAGAAGACCCUACUGAGCUUAUAAUUUUGUUGUUAUCUUGUUUUAAAUGUGUUGGUGACAUAUAAAUUUUAAUUGGGGUGAUUAAGGAAUAAAUAUAUUUUAAUAACUUCCUUAGUUUAAAUAUUGUUAAAUGAAGUAACCAAUAUUAUUGCUUUUAAUAUAGUUACCAUAGGGAUAACAGCGUAAUUUAUUUAGAGAGUUCUUAUUGAAAAAUGAGAUUGCGACCUCGAUGUUGGAUUAAAGUAACCUUAAGGUGCAGAAGCUU
rnacentral:rRNA from 1 species